AUGAGUGAAGAAAAUGAUGAGGUUGAGAUUGGUGAGACUGGACUGAAAAAUACAAUGAGCCCGGAAGAAACAACACAAGAACCUAAGGUAAAUAUGAUUUUUAACACAGCUGAUGAGGUGCUUGAUUUUUAUAAAAAAAUAUGCAAAUCGAGUAGGUUUCCCAAUGAAGAAGAGAUCAUCGAAGAAAGGAGAUUGUGGGGAGUUGAAAUAUGUUACUUUAUCAUGUUCUCGAUCAGGGAUCCCGCAAAGUACUGCAAGCAAUGUCUUAAAGCCAUAUCCAAGCAUAAAAGGCAAUUGCAAGGCUCAAAAUGCACAGGAUAGUCAUGGUGGUAUGGAUGAUGAUUAA
rnacentral:lncRNA from 1 species